UGGGGAAUAUUGCGCAAUGGGCGGAAGCCUGACGCAGCGACGCCGCGUGGGGGAUGACGGCCUUCGGGUUGUAAACCUCUUUCAGCAGGGACGAAGCCGUGAGGUGACGGUACCUGCAGAAGAAGCACCGGCCAACUACGUGCCAGCAGCCGCGGUAAUACGUAGGGUGCAAGCGUUGUCCGGAAUUAUUGGGCGUAAAGAGCUCGUAGGCGGUCUGUCGCGUCGGCUGUGAAAUCCCGAGGCUCAACCUCGGGUCUGCAGUCGAUACGGGCAAACUGGAGUGUUGCAGGGGAGACUGGAAUUCCUGGUGUAGCGGUGAAAUGCGCAGAUAUCAGGAGGAACACCGGUGGCGAAGGCGGGUCUCUGGGCAACAACUGACGCUGAGGAGCGAAAGCGUGGGGAGCGAACAGG
rnacentral:rRNA from 1 species